rnacentral:rRNA from 1 species
CGCGUAGGCGGCUAAGAAAGUGUGAUGUGAAACGCCCCGGGCUUAACCUGGGAAGGGCAUUGCAAACUAAUUGGCUAGAGUAUAUGAGAGGGUGGCGGAAUUUCCGGUGUAGCGGUGAAAUGCGUAGAGAUCGGAGGGAACGUCAAUGGCGAAGGCAGCCACCUGGCAUAAUACUGACGCUGAGGCGCGAAAGCGUGGGUAGCGAACAGGAUUAGAUACCCUGGUAGUCCACGCUGUAAACGAUGAGGACUGGAUGUUGGUAGGGGAACCUAUCAGUAUCGAAGCUAACGCGAUAAGUCUUCCACCUGGGAAGUACGGCCGCAAGGUUGAA